GGACUACUAGGGUAUCUAAUCCCGUUCGCUACCCUAGCUUUCGUGCCUCAGCGUCAGAAAAGACCCAGUACGCCGCUUUCGCCACCGGUGUUCCUUAGGAUAUCAACGCAUUUCACCGCUCCACCCUAAGUUCCGCGUACCUCUAUCUUUCUCUAGCAAAGUAGUUUCGGGCGCAAUUCCUCAGUUGAGCUGAGGGAUUUCACACCCGACUUUCUCCACCGCCUACGCACCCUUUAAGCCCAGUAAUUCCGAAUAACGUUAGCAAGGUUCGUCUUACCGCGGCUGCUGGCAC
rnacentral:rRNA from 1 species